UACGGAGGGUGCAAGCGUUAUCCGGAUUUACUGGGUUUAAAGGGUGUGUAGGCGGGUCUUUAAGUCAGUGGUGAAAUCUCCGAGCUCAACUUGGAAACUGCCAUUGAUACUAUUGAUCUUGAAUUUUGUUGAGGUAGGCGGAAUAAGUCAUGUAGCGGUGAAAUGCAUAGAUAUGACUUAGAACACCAAUUGCGAAGGCAGCUCGCUACACUAUCAUUGACACUGAGGCACGAAAGCGUGGGGAUCAAACAGG
rnacentral:rRNA from 1 species